UCAAAUCUCUGCAGAGUAAUCUCUGCAGCUAGCUAGACUAUCUGUCCAAUCUGAGUUUUGUCUUGCACAAGACUAUUUUACAGUGGCUCCGUGUGGAGCUUAGCGCCGCCCAUGACGAUUGUGAUUG